rnacentral:lncRNA from 1 species
UCUGUUGGCAUGUGACCUUGGACUUCCCUGCCUCCAGACCUCACAGGUCUACCAUGUGCAAAGCACUGUACCAGCACUGAGGACCCAAAGAAGAACAUGAAGAUUAAAAGGAGCAAGAUACAAUCACCAGCUCAAGAAGCUUAUAAUUUGGGGUAGGGCACAGACCAGUAAAUAGACAAUUACAGAGCAAUAUAAUAGAAGAAAACACAGUGUUAUGAGGCAAACAUAAGGACCACUAACUGAAGAUUCAUUACAUCAUUUUCUGUCAUCCUAGAUGUAUUCAAGAUGUAAUUCUCUUAGAGUAUUAAGUUAAUGUAAAAAACGCAUCAUUGUGACCUUCAAUCUAGAAGAUGUAGGGCAAAAUUAGGCUGGAGCAUCUUUUUCUCCUGUGACAUUAUACAUCUGAUUUCACUGAAAUAUGGUACACAAUUACUGGAAACGAGUGCCUGUAAAAGUCCAUAAAACCAAGUGACUUUUCAAGAUAUAACAAAGGUAAAAGGCUACUGGCAUCACUGUCUAUGAAUCAUCUCAUUAUCAAUAUUCUAGACUUUGAAGUGAAAUAAUAAAAAGUUUACUUAAAGCAACAGCAUCAAAUAAUUAAGCAAUUCUUUCGUAUUUAAUAC